CGACCGAUUGCUUCCCAUGUACAGCCUCGCAAGCCCAAAAGUAGGGGUGCGCGUCUUCGAUGGACUCGAAUUCUCAAAGGUCUCUCCAGCACCAGUUAGAAGCACCAGCAUUAGCUUCAUAAAAGCAUUUCUACGAGGGACCCAAGGCUCCUACUCUGCUCCAAUUGCAGCAAUGGAGGAUAUGAAAAAACCCAAGAAGAAGAGAAAGGCUCAGCCGAGGAAGAAGAGGAAAUUUAUCAACGAAAAUGAGGAAGGAAUUCCUGACAUUGAAGACAUUUUCAGCGACAAAGAAACCCAGAAGAUCAGGGAAUCAUUGUUGGACUGGUACGACCACAACCAGAGAGACCUUCCUUGGAGGAGGAAAGAAACAAACGCACUUGAAGAAGAAGAAGAAGAAGA
rnacentral:misc_RNA from 1 species